AGCGAACGCUGGCGGCAGGCUUAACACAUGCAAGUCGAGCGGGCACUCUCUGGUGUCGGCGGCUGACGGGUGGGUAACGCGUGGGAACGCGCCCGCGUAUCCGGAACAACUCAUUGAAACUUGAUCUAAUACCGGAUACUCCCUUUUGAUGGAAGGCUUGCUGCCGGGGGAUCGGCCCGCGUCUGUUUAGCUAGUUGGUUGGGUAACGGCUAACCAAGGUGACUAUCAGUAGCUGGUCUGAGAGAGUGAUCAGCCACACGUGGGCUGAGACACGGCCCAGACUCCUACGGGAGGCAGCAGUGGGGAAUAUUGGGCGAUGGGGGCAAGCCUGAUCCAGCCAUGCCGGGUGAGUCAUGAAGGCGUUAGGGUUGUGAAGCUUUUUUAUACGGGACGAUAAUGACGGUACCGGAGGAAUAAGCACCGGCUAACUUCGUG
rnacentral:rRNA from 1 species